GACGAACGCUGGCGGCGUGCUUAACACAUGCAAGUCGAACGGAAAGGCCCCUUUGGGGGUACUCGAGUGGCGAACGGGUGAGUAACACGUGAGUAACCUGCCCUUGACUUCGGGAUAACUUCAGGAAACUGGGGCUAAUACCGGAUAGGAAUCCUUGCUGCAUGGUGGGGGUUGGAAAGCUUCGGCGGUUUUGGAUGGACUCGCGGCUUAUCAGCUUGUUGGUGGGGUAGUGGCUUACCAAGGCUUUGACGGGUAGCCGGCCUGAGAGGGCGACCGGCCACACUGGGACUGACGUACGGCCCAGGCGCCUACGGGUGGCAGAAGUGGGGAAUAUUGCACCAUGGGCGGCAGCCUGAUGCAGCAACGCCGCGUGCGGGAUGACGGCCUUCGGGUUGUAGACCGCUUUCAGCAGGGGCGAAGCUUGUGGUGACGGUACCUGCAGAAGAAGCACCGGCUAACUACGUG
rnacentral:rRNA from 1 species